rnacentral:rRNA from 1 species
AGAGAGAGACAUGCGCGCAUAUCAAUAAGCGGAGGAAAAGAAACUAACUAGGAUUCCCUCAGUAACGGCGAGUGAAGCGGGAAGAGCUCAAAUUUGAAAUCUUCAAGGGUUCUACCUUUACGAAUUGUAGUUUAAAGAAGUGUUUUCUGUUGAGGUUUUGGUAAAAGUUCUUUGGAAUAGGACAUCAUAGAGGGUGAGAAUCCCGUAUUUGACCAUUAUUUCCAGCUUUGUGAUACACUUUCAAAGAGUCGGAUUGUUUGGGAAUGCAGUCCAAAAUGGGUGGUAAAUUUCAUCUAAAGCUAAAUAUUGGCGAGAGACCGAUAGCGAACAAGUACCGUGAGGGAAAGAUGAAAAGAACUUUGAAAAGAGAGUUAAACAGUACGUGAAAUUGUCAAAAGGGAAGCGUUUGACAUCAGUGUUGUUUUCUCGAAAAUCAAUUAAAAAAGGCAGGAUUUUGUGUUGUAUUGACUUUAUCAGCUUUCUGCACUCUUUUCUUGUCUUUUUUAAUGCACUUUUCGUUUAACAAGUCAACAUCAAUUUCUUUUGUUGUAAAAGGGUCAUUGGAAGGUGGCUUUCUUUUCGGAGAAAGUGUUUAUAGCCUUUGGCCUCUGCAAUCGGAGAGAUUGAGGUCUGCAGCGUAGAUCCUUCGGGGUUAGAUACAUUUGUGCUAAGUUAUAGCCUUUCAUAGACAACUUGUUGACUAUGAUCAGUCAUGUAGCUUACUCGCUUAUGCUAUUUUACCUACGCUUAGGAUGUUGAUGUGAUACUGCGAGCA